rnacentral:lncRNA from 1 species
CGUGGCUGUCAGAUGAGAUGUGAACCAUGAAAUGUAGUUCAAUCUGCCUAAGAGACCACAAACCUCUUUUUUUGUUCUCGGUUCAGGCAUUUCUUUGUAUUUCUUUUUUUCUUUUCUUUUUCCCCUUUUUUUUGCUUUUUUUUUGUUUUUAGCAGGAUCGGCCUCGAUUCCUCUUAUCCGCUCAUAAUAAGCCUCAGCAUUUUACCGGACAACACUCUACAAGUGCAAUGAUUCAGAUUCAACCUCAG